UACGGAGGGUGCAAGCGUUAAUCGGAAUUACUGGGCGUAAAGCGCACGCAGGCGGUUUGAUAAGUUAGAUGUGAAAGCCCCUGGCUCAACCUGGGAAUUGCAUUUAAAACUGUCCAGCUAGAGUGUUGUAGAGGGGGGUAGAAUUCCAGGUGUAGCGGUGAAAUGCGCAGAGAUCUGGAGGAAUACCGGUGGCGAAGGCGGCCCCCUGGACAAAGACUGACGCUCAGGUGCGAAAGCGUGGGGAGCGAACAGG
rnacentral:rRNA from 1 species